AUUGAACGCUGGCGGCAGGCCUAACACAUGCAAGUCGAGCGAGCGGCGGACGGGUGAGUAAUGUAUGGGGAUCUGCCUGAUGGAGGGGGAUAACUACUGGAAACGGUAGAUAAUACUGCAUACCAUCAGAUGUGCUCAGAUGGGAUUAGCUACUGGGUGAGGUAACGGCUGACCAAGGCGACGAGCCCUAGCUGGUCUGAGAGGAUGAUCAGCCACACUGGGACUGAGACACGGCCCAGACUCCUACGGGAGGCAGCAGUGGGGAAUAUUUCACAAUGGGCGCAAGCCUGAGUCAGCCACGCCGCGUGGAUGAAGAAGGCCUUCGGGUUGUAAAGUACUUUCAGUCGGGAGGCGUUACCGACAGAAGAAGCACCGGCUAACUCCGUGCCAGCAGCCGCGGUAAUUC
rnacentral:rRNA from 1 species